rnacentral:rRNA from 1 species
GAUGAACGCUGGCGGCGUGCUUAACACAUGCAAGUCGAACGAAGCAUUUGCGACAGAUUUUUUCGGAAUGAAGUUGCUUAUGACUGAGUGGCGGACGGGUGAGUAACGCGUGGGUAACCUGCCUUGUACUGGGGGAUAGCAGCUGGAAACGGCUGGUAAUACCGCAUAAGCGCACAAUGUUGCAUGACAUGGUGUGAAAAACUCCGGUGGUAUAAGAUGGACCCGCGUCUGAUUAGCUAGUUGGUGAGAUAACAGCCCACCAAGGCGACGAUCAGUAGCCGACCUGAGAGGGUGACCGGCCAGAUUGGGACUGAGACACGGCCCAGACUCCUACGGGAGGCAGCAGUGGGGAAUAUUGCACAAUGGAGGAAAAUCUGAUGCAGCGACGCCGCGUGAGUGAAGAAGUAAUUCGUUAUGUAAAGCUCUAUCAGCAGGGAAGAUAGUGACGGUACCUGACUAAGAAGCUCCGGCUAAAUACGUG